rnacentral:lncRNA from 1 species
UAAGAUCAUAUAACAUAUAUUGAGCUUCCAUUUCGUAAAUCAUCAUUUGUUGAAUCAUCAUUGAGCUAUAAUUUGUUAUUCACUCUUAAAGAGAGUUUUAUUGUUGUGAAUUUCAUUUCUCAUCAAUUUGUGAGUGUACAAGUGUGGGAAACACUGGGGUGAAGAGAUUGGGGAUAUAAUCUCUUGUUGUAAAGGUUCAUUGACACCUUGGAAGUCAAUUGUAAACAUUUGAAGCCUUGGGAGGCUUGGAUAGUGAAAUCCUCAAGCCGGGUGAGCUUGGAGGCGUGGACGUAGGCGGGGAUAGCCGAACCACGUAAAAAUCCUUGUGUUCG